GAAAGAGAGGGGUACUUCAUCACUGUUGAUAUCGAGAAAGGGAUGCAAGAUGGACAAGGAAUUCUGAAGCGUAGGAUGAAAUAUCUCGGGGAAUGAUAACUGGUCUCAACUCAAGUAUGGAGAACUCACAGUUGCUACUAUUACUACCAUUGUGCCAGAUUUACUAGCUAAGGUUCUGCAGCAAGUUAUGGCGGUGCAGCAACAAAACCAACAUCCUUCCAAUAACAAUCCAGUCCCAGAUGUUGAGAUUCUGAACACAUGCUACUUUUAUUUUGAGGAUCAACCACUUUUUGUACUCUGUAUUCUUUAAUUUGCGACAUUUUGCAUCUCUUCUCCUCUCCGAUGUAAAUUUAAGCAAGUGUCCUCCUUGAUUGUGAUUAAAUAUAAUAUAUAUAGAUUUUU